rnacentral:ncRNA from 2 species
AUCUUUUUUCAUUAUUCUGGUAUCGGGAAGCGCGGUGAAAUGCCGCCACUGCCCCGCAACUGUAAUGGAGAACCAAAACUCAGCAUGCCACUGUCCCAAAACGGAUGGGAUGGGAAGGCGAGUUAGUAGGAUGAUCCCAGAGUCAGGAUACCGGCCAGGAUAGAGUGAACCCG